AAUCCAUGUCAAACUAAGAAAAAAAGUCAGGAAAAAUCAUCACAUUUCUUGAAUGCAGAGGAAUUUGGGGACCAAAACUUGAAAGGAAAUAAGGAAAGGAGAACUAUGCAGAAGGAGAAGUUGAAUAUGCCUUCAAAACUGGGACAUGAGAGAGUCUGGCUCUGUUGUCGCCCAGGCUGGAGUGCAGUGGCGCGUCUCGGCUCACCGCAAGCUUCGCCUCCCGGGUUCAUGCCAUUCUCCUGCCUCAGCCUCCUGAAUAGCUGGGAGUACAGGCGCCUGCCACCACGCCUGGCUAAUUUUUUUGUAUUUUUAGGAGAGACAGGGUUUCACUGAGUUAGCCAGGAUGGUCUCAAUCUCCUCACCUCAUGAUCUGGCUGCCUUGGCCUCCCAAAGUGCUGGGAUUAUAGCUGUGAGCCACUGCACCCGGUGUCCACUGAUGAUAUUCUUAUGGAGAGCCUCAGAUGUGAACUAUCAGCAGUUCACAACCUGCUUUUGAAGAAAUGUGUUCUGAAAGAGGAUCUGGGUGAUCCACCUAAGCAUCCAAAACAAUGAAGAACUACCAGA
ensembl:lncRNA novel transcript